CUCUCUUCUCUGCUUCUUUGUUCUUCGGUCGAGUGAGGAUUUGAGAAAUCAAUUUAGUGACUGGGAGAUCAAAUAAAUAGGGGAAGGAUUAUGUAGUAACUGUUGGUGGUGGUGUUCGAUUUGAGUUUGAAGAAUAUUAAAAGAAAGAUGAAUCAGGAAGAAGCAGAACUAGGGUUUUAGUUAGAUUAUGAGUUGGAAAAGAAUUGGUUGGUUUGCAGAGUUGCUAGUAGAUGAAGGACGAUUGAUUUAUUUUUUAAUUGACUCUAUGAAGUUGAUUCGAUAAAUAUUGAAUAUAAUUAGGGUUUCUUCAAUUCAGUGAAGUUGUAAUUUGAGAUGUUUAAGAAGAAAUUAAUGGAUGGGUAUUGAAGAACAUGAGGCGAAGAAGAAGUUUAUGACGUUAAUUUGAAUAUUCAGUUACUUGAUCUAAGCUACUUUAAGGGUUAAGGAUGAAUAUUAAUUUUAUUAGAAUGAAAUGGAUGGAGAAGAGAUAGGUUCGAUGGUGGUUGAUCUAUUUAGAGUUACAGCAGUUCACCAACAGUUCAGAUAAGGCUAAUUUCUGGGUAAGUCUUUAUAUUGUUUAAUUUCAGUAUAUGAAGUUGAGUUAUGUGGAUUGUAGAGUUUAUGUGACUGUGAAUGAAAUCGAGGGUAAGAUGAGUACUCGAUGGAACUGUGAUUGUGGAUAUGAAGAUUGUGCUGAAAAUGAUUAAGCUGAAUUUUUGUUAAUAUGAGCUGCAGGUAUAGUGAGUGAGUUGGUGGUGUUAUGUUGAGUUGAGUUGAAUGUGCAUAGUUUCUUGAGAUUGAGAGUUUUAGAGUUGCAGUGGCAGUUCAGUUGUGUUGGUGGUUUGAGAUGAUGAUUGUAUGUGUAUUGAGAUAAGAGUAUGUUACGAAUGAGCUUGUGUUGCUGGUAAGCCAAUAGUGUAGGAGAAGGCUGUGGUUUGGGUUUGAUCUGUAAUUGAGAAGAAAUGAAGUAACAUACUUGGAUGAAGAAUUGAGAUGAGAUUAAGUCAGGGUGUGUGCAAUUGGGACUGGAGGUGUAGUUGUAGCUUAGGUAUAUCUGGAAUGGAAGGGAACUAGUGUGAUUUGCAUAUAUGGAUGAGUUAGUUGCAGGUACAUAUUGUGGUGUUGAUGAAAGAUACAUGUAUGAUUUGGAGAUAGAGAUUAUUGGUGUUGGAAUUGAGAAGUUAAGGUUUGAAGAUAAUCUACAAAGAGUGUUGUUGUCUGAUCAUAUUAUGGCUGAGUUGAGGAUGUGUAUGGAUCCGAAAUUGAACCAGAUUGUGUAAGUGUUUUAAUGGAUUUGGUAGUUUGGUGUUGCCAUUGUAGUCUAGUAAGCUGCAGUUGGAGUUGGAGAUAAUCUGGUGGUGUUGUUGCUGUUUUGGUAGUUGUUGUAGGUGCAAGUGAUAAGUUGAAGUCUGUGUUUUGAAUUGAAUAAUGGAUUAAGUUGAAGCAAUCAGUGUUUAGAAAUUGGAAUUUUAAAGUGAUAGUGUGCAGGUGGAAUGGAUUGCUGGUAAUGUUGAUAAAAUGAGUUGAGUUACAGUUGUAACAAGUUAAAUUGUGAAGUGGAGGUUAUCUUGAAAUGUGUUUGUUGAAUCUCCAGUGGAAGGCUUGGUACUGCUAUCGCAGUUUCAGAGACAGAUCAGAGUUGCGCAGCGAAAGCUUCAACGGUUGAUUUCUUUAGUUGGUUAACUUUUAAUACGUUUAUUACAUUGCAUAUUGUAUUUGUAAACCAAAUGACUAUUGUAUAUGUAUCAUUUGAGGGGAAUUCUUGUAUAUAUAUGUUUCUGAAUGGGGCUAGUUUUGGCUUAA